rnacentral:rRNA from 1 species
UACGGAGGGGACUAGCGUUGUUCGGAAUUACUGGGCGUAAAGCGCGCGUAGGUGGUUUGUUAAGUUGGAUGUGAAAGCCCCGGGCUCAACCUGGGAACUGCAUCCAAAACUGGCAAGCUAGAGUACGGUAGAGGGUGGUGGAAUUUCCUGUGUAGCGGUGAAAUGCGUAGAUAUAGGAAGGAACACCAGUGGCGAAGGCGACCACCUGGACUGAUACUGACACUGAGGUGCGAAAGCGUGGGGAGCAAACAGG